rnacentral:misc_RNA from 1 species
CAUCUUGGACUGACCCACAAGCUCUGUGCGGGCUCAUGGGUACAGAGGUCCCUGGCGGGGUUGGGCCAUUUGGUUUGUUUGUGUUGGCUUCUAGUGAGUUGGAGGAGAGAACUGCUGUAUUUUUCAGGGUCUUCAAAGCGCCUAAUAAGCAUGUUGUGCUCAUGUGUCAUGAUUCAAGCAAGUCAUCGUUCAGAACUGAGGUAUGGAAGCAGUCAUUUGGUGGCUUUGUUGAUUUUGACAUAGCAAAGGAGAACAAGAUAUCGCUUAGAACCUUGACUGAUAACUCAGUUGUGGAGAGCUUUGGAGCUGAGGGGAGAACUUGUAUUACAUCGCGGGUGUAUCCAACAUUGGCCAUAGGAGCCAGUGCUAAGUUGUUUGCUUUCAAUGGUGGAGUUCAAGAAGUCAGGAUUGCAAACCUCACAGCAUGGGAGAUCACAAGACCUCAGAUGAAUGGAGUCUGACGAGUUUGUUGUCUUUUACCUUUUCUUAGAACCAUGCAACCACCAGUUGUUUUAUAAGGUGGUUGUGG